rnacentral:rRNA from 1 species
CAAUAGCGUAUAUUAAAGUUGUUGCGGUUAAAAAGCUCGUAGUUGGAUUUCUGCUGAGAACGACCGGUCCGCCCUCUGGGUGUGUAUCUGGCUCUUUCUUGGCAUCUUCUUGGUGAACGUUGCUGCACUUGACUGUGUGGAGCGCUACCCAGGACUUUUACUUUGAGGAAAUUAGAGUGUUUCAAGCAGGCAUACGCCUUGAAUACAUUAGCAUGGAAUAAUAAGAUAGGACCUCGGUUCUAUUUUGUUGGUUUCUAGAGCUGAGGUAAUGAUUAAUAGGGAUAGUUGGGGGCAUUCGUAUUUAACUGUCAGAGGCGAAAUUCUUGGAUUUGUUAAAGACGGACUACUGCGAAAGCAUUUGCCAAGGAUGUUUNCAUUGA